rnacentral:rRNA from 1 species
AGUCCACAUAGACGGUGAGGUUUGGCACCUGGUUGUCGGCUCAUCACAUCCUGGGGCUGUAGUAGGUCCCAAGGGUUGGGCUGUUCGCCCAUUAAAGUGGUACGCGGGCUGGGUUCAGAACGUCGUGGGACAGUUCGGUCCCUAUCCGUCGCAGGCGUAGGAAAUUUGAGAAGACCUGUCCUUAGUACGAGAGGACCGGGAUGGACGUACCUCUGGUGUACCAGUUGU